CAACCUGCCCAUCACUUGGGGAUAACCUUGCGAAAGUAAGACUAAUACCCAAUGACGUCUCUAGAAGACAUCUGAAGGAGAUUAAAGAUUUAUCGGUGAUGGAUGGGGAUGCGUCUGAUUAGCUUGUUGGCGGGGUAACGGCCCACCAAGGCAACGAUCAGUAGGGGUUCUGAGAGGAAGGUCCCCCACAUUGGAACUGAGACACGGUCCAAACUCCUACGGGAGGCAGCAGUGAGGAAUAUUGGUCAAUGGACGAGAGUCUGAACCAGCCGAGUAGCGUGCAGGAUGACGGCCCUAUGGGUUGUAAACUGCUUUUAUAAGGGAAUAAAGUGAGUCUCGUGAGACUUUUUGCAUGUACCUUAUGAAUAAGGACCGGCUAAUUCCGUGCCAGCAGCCGCGGUAAUACGGAAGGUCCGGGCGUUAUCCGGAUUUAUUGGGUUUAAAGGGAGCGUAGGCCGGAGAUUAAGCGUGUUGUGAAAUGUAGACGCUCAACGUCUGCACUGCAGCGCGAACUGGUUUCCUUGAGUACGCACAAAGUGGGCGGAAUUCGUGGUGUAGCGGUGAAAUGCUUAGAUAUCACGAAGAACUCCGAUUG
rnacentral:rRNA from 1 species